rnacentral:rRNA from 1 species
UACGUAGGGGGCAAGCGUUGUCCGGAAUCAUUGGGCGUAAAGCGCGUGUAGGCGGCCUUGUAAGUCCGUUCUGAAAGCCCGGGGCUCAACCCCGGGAGGCGGAUGGAUACUGCAGGGCUCGAGUACGGAAGAGGCGAGUGGAAUUCCCGGUGUAGCGGUGAAAUGCGCAGAUAUCGGGAGGAACACCGGUGGCGAAGGCGGGUUCUCUGGGCCUGUACUGGACGCUGAGGAGCGAAAGCGUGGGGAGCGAAC